rnacentral:rRNA from 1 species
UACAGAGGGUGCAAGCGUUAAUCGGAAUUACUGGGCGUAAAGCGUGCGCAGGCGGCUUUGCAUGACAGAUGUGAAAUCCCCGGGCUCAACCUGGGAACUGCAUUUGUGACUGCAAGGCUAGAGUACGGCAGAGGGGGAUGGAAUUCCGCGUGUAGCAGUGAAAUGCGUAGAUAUGCGGAGGAACACCAAUGGCGAAGGCAAUCCCCUGGGCCUGUACUGACGCUCAUGCACGAAAGCGUGGGGAGCAAACAGG